CAAAGGUUUGGUCCUGGCCUUAAGAUCACUUGUUACUCAACUCACACAUGCAAGUCUCCGCACCCCCGUGAGAACGCCCUUAAACUCCUACCCAGGAAUAAGGAGCCGGCAUCAGGCACAACAAUUUGCCCAAGACGCCUAGCCAUGCCACCCCCACACGGGACUUCAGCAGUGAUUAAUAUUGAAUAUUAGCGACAGCUUGAUUCAGUUAGAGUAAAAAGAGCCGGCCAAUCUGGUGCCAGCCGCCGCGGUUACACCACGUGGCUCAAAUUGAUCCCCAUCGGCGUAAAGCGUGAUUUAAGUAACUACACCUGUUAGAGUUAAACUUGGGCUAAGCUGUGAUACGCUUGCCACACAAGAAACCCAGAAGCGAAAGCCACUCUAACCCCACCCACUUGAACUCACGACAGCUGGGGCUCAAACUG
rnacentral:rRNA from 1 species